AGAGUUUGAUCAUGGCUCAGAUUGAACGCUGGCGGCAGGCCUAACACAUGCAAGUCGAACGGUAGCACAGAGAGCUUGCUCUCGGGUGACGAGUGGCGGACGGGUGAGUAAUGUCUGGGAAACUGCCUGAUGGAGGGGGAUAACUACUGGAAACGGUGGCUAAUACCGCAUAACGUCGCAAGACCAAAGAGGGGGACCUUCGGGCCUCUUGCCAUCAGAUGUGCCCAGAUGGGAUUAGCUAGUUGGUGAGGUAACGGCUCACCAAGGCGACGAUCCCUAGCUGGUCUGAGAGGAUGACCAGCCACACUGGAACUGAGACACGGUCCAGACUCCUACGGGAGGCAGCAGUGGGGAAUAUUGCACAAUGGGCGCAAGCCUGAUGCAGCCAUGCCGCGUGUAUGAAGAAGGCCUUCGGGUUGUAAAGUACUUUCAGCGGGGAGGAAGGUGUUGUGGUUAAUAACCGCAGCAAUUGACGUUACCCGCAGAAGAAGCACCGGCUAACUCCGUGCCAGCAGCCGCGGUAAUACGGAGGGUGCAAGCGUUAAUCGGAAUUACUGGGCGUAAAGCGCACGCAGGCGGUCUGUCAAGUCGGAUGUGAAAUCCCCGGGCUCAACCUGGGAACUGCAUUCGAAACUGGCAGGCUUGAGUCUUGUAGAGGGGGGUAGAAUUCCAGGUGUAGCGGUGAAAUGCGUAGAGAUCUGGAGGAAUACCGGUGGCGAAGGCGGCCCCCUGGACAAAGACUGACGCUCAGGUGCGAAAGCGUGGGGAGCAAACAGGAUUAGAUACCCUGGUAGUCCACGCCGUAAACGAUGUCUACUUGGAGGUUGUGCCCUUGAGGCGUGGCUUCCGGAGCUAACGCGUUAAGUAGACCGCCUGGGGAGUACGGCCGCAAGGUUAAAACUCAAAUGAAUUGACGGGGGCCCGCACAAGCGGUGGAGCAUGUGGUUUAAUUCGAUGCAACGCGAAGAACCUUACCUGGUCUUGACAUCCACAGAACUUUCCAGAGAUGGAUUGGUGCCUUCGGGAACUGUGAGACAGGUGCUGCAUGGCUGUCGUCAGCUCGUGUUGUGAAAUGUUGGGUUAAGUCCCGCAACGAGCGCAACCCUUAUCCUUUGUUGCCAGCGGUCCGGCCGGGAACUCAAAGGAGACUGCCAGUGAUAAACUGGAGGAAGGUGGGGAUGACGUCAAGUCAUCAUGGCCCUUACGACCAGGGCUACACACGUGCUACAAUGGCGCAUACAAAGAGAAGCGACCUCGCGAGAGCAAGCGGACCUCAUAAAGUGCGUCGUAGUCCGGAUUGGAGUCUGCAACUCGACUCCAUGAAGUCGGAAUCGCUAGUAAUCGUGGAUCAGAAUGCCACGGUGAAUACGUUCCCGGGCCUUGUACACACCGCCCGUCACACCAUGGGAGUGGGUUGCAAAAGAAGUAGGUAGCUUAACCUUCGGGAGGGCGCUUACCACUUUGUGAUUCAUGACUGGGGUGAAGUCGUAACAAGGUAACCGUAGGGGAACCUGCGGUUG
rnacentral:rRNA from 1 species